rnacentral:rRNA from 1 species
UACGUAGGGUGCGAGCGUUGUCCGGAAUUAUUGGGCGUAAAGAGCUCGUAGGCGGUGUGUCACGUCGGCCGUGAAAACCUGCAGCUUAACUGUGGGCGUGCGGUCGAUACGGGCAUCACUGGAGUUCGGCAGGGGGAGACUGGAAUUCCUGGUGUAGCGGUGAAAUGCGCAGAUAUCAGGAGGAACACCAGUGGCGAAGGCGGGCAUCUGGGCCAACACUGACGCUGAGGCGCGAAAGCUAGGGGGAGCAAACAGG